UACGAAGGGGGCUAGCGUUGUUCGGAAUUACUGGGCGUAAAGCGCACGUAGGCGGAUCGAUCAGUCAGGGGUGAAAUCCCAGGGCUCAACCCCGAGACUGCCUUUGAUACUGUCGAUCUGGAGUAUGGAAGAGGUGAGUGGAAUUCCGAGUGUAGAGGUGAAAUGCGUAGAUACUGGGAGGAACACCAGUGGCGAAGGCGGCUACCUGGACCGGUUCUGACGCUGAUGCGCGAAAGCGUGGGUAGCAAACAGG
rnacentral:rRNA from 1 species